UGAGAUAGAGGACGCGUUGCACCAUCAGUACCCGCUCCCCAUGUCAUGCAGGACAGGGGCGGCGAAAGGGGUGCGCGCCGAAGGGAAUUCCCUCUGCAUUGGGAGUUUCACUGGGCGGACGAAAUAAGAUUUGUUCGACUGUCGCAAAAGAUCGCUUGUUGAGAUUUUGCGGAGAGCUAUCC
rnacentral:ncRNA from 1 species